rnacentral:lncRNA from 1 species
CUGACAGAAAGAAGUUCACAAUUACUGAUAAGAGAUAAUCUUAUGGACUGGGUCCAGUAAUACCAGUACUGCAGUUAUAGGUACAUUCUAUUUGAUGGCCUCACUUGUGGUUAUUCCGGUGACAUAUAGACGUUGAAUAGUUAUUACUUCCAAAGAAAAACCAUACACUGGAUAUCUUGUAUAACAAUUGUUGUAUUCAAAAUAAAAUGCAAAAUGGAUUAUUUUGUAGUAAUACUUCAUCACAUGAAACUAUUUUCUGCUCUUAGUGGCUCCUUGUUUAUAUUUAUAUGCAAACAUUUUAAUUAUUGUUUCCAAAUAAAAUCUCAGUUCAGGUUAUUGCGCUUUGCAGAUUGCGGACGCCUUUAGACAUGACUCCGUGAAAGAGAUGGAUUACAGUGAGUUUUACUUAAUGCAGAAUUUUGUGCUGUGGGAAGACGGGACUAUUAUGCUUCGUAUCAUAUCUUGAGGUGAAAACAAAGGAUUUUGGUACUUCUUAAAUACAGAGGUCCCGACGCAUCUAAAGGGGAGGUAAUCUAGUUUUAUCAAAACUACUGUGACUUCACAUAAAUGGCCCUUGUGUAAGUCGAAACUAAAAACUAAAAACCUUAACCCCAACCCUAUCCCCUAACCCACAGAGGUAAAGAAUACGUACACCACCCGUUUUCUGCGUAACCCUAACCUUAAACCCAACCCUAAAACUAACCCUAAAUCCUAACGGGUGUGCACUGUAAAAAACAUCGGAUUAAAAACAGACGAAAUUGUGGGAAAAAAAAAAGAUCGGAAUAAAAGCAGACGAUAUUGUGAUGCCCCUUACAUCAUUUAGUUUUGAUAAAACUAGAUUACCUGCCCUUCACAUCGUUACGGGGAUGCAUCGGGAUCUCUGUAUUUAAGUAGAGCCAUGUUGUUUUCAUUGGAUAUGUUUUGAUUUAUUUGUAAAUAUUCUCUUUGGGAUCUUUUCGGGACCUUUGUGAUUUG